rnacentral:rRNA from 1 species
AGUGAACGCUGGCGGUAGGCCUAACACAUGCAAGUCGAACGGCAGCACAGUAAGAGCUUGCUCUUACGGGUGGCGAGUGGCGGACGGGUGAGGAAUACAUCGGAAUCUACUUUUUCGUGGGGGAUAACGUAGGGAAACUUACGCUAAUACCGCAUACGAUCUACGGGUGAAAGCAGGGGAUCUUCGCACCUUGCGCGAUUGAAUGAGCCGCUGUCGGAUUAGCUAGUUGGCGGGGUAAAUGCCCACCAAGGCGACGAUCCGUAGCUGGUCUGAGAGGAUGAUCAGCCACACUGGAACUGAGACACGGUCCAGACUCCUACGGGAGGCAGCAGUGGGGAAUAUUGGACAAUGGGCGCAAGCCUGAUCCAGCCAUACCGCGUGGGUGAAGAAGGCCUUCGGGUUGUAAAGCCCUUUUGUUGGGAAAGAAAAGCAGCAGGUUAAUACCCCGCUGUUCUGACGGUACCCAAAGAAUAAGCACCGGCUAACUUCGUG